rnacentral:rRNA from 1 species
ACUCGACACCUACGGGAGCAGCAGUGGGGAAUAUUGCACAAUGGGGGAAACCCUGAUGCAGCGACGCCGCGUGAAGGAAGAAGUAUCUCGGUAUGUAAACUUCUAUCAGCAGGGAAGAAAGUGACGGUACCUGACUAAGAAGCCCCGGCUAACUACGUGCCAGCAGCCGCGGUAAUCUGAGCGGGCUGGCAAGGC